rnacentral:rRNA from 1 species
GGGAGGCAGCAGUGGGGAAUUUUGGACAAUGGGGGAAACCCUGAUCCAGCCAUCCCGCGUGUGCGAUGAAGGCCUUCGGGUUGUAAAGCACUUUUGGCAGGAAAGAAACGUCAUGGGUUAAUACCCCGUGAAACUGACGGUACCUGCAGAAUAAGCACCGGCUAACUACGUGCCAGCAGCCGCGGUAAUACGUAGGGUGCAAGCGUUAAUCGGAAUUACUGGGCGUAAAGCGUGCGCAGGCGGUUCGGAAAGAAAGAUGUGAAAUCCCAGAGCUUAACUUUGGAACCGCAUUUUUAACUACCGGGCUAGAGUGUGUCAGAGGGAGGUGGAAUUCCGCGUGUAGCAGUGAAAUGCGUAGAUAUGCGGAGGAACACCGAUGGCGAAGGCAGCCUCCUGGGAUAACACUGUCGCUCAUGCACGAAAGCGUGGGGAGCAAACAGGAUUAGAUACCCUGGUAGUCCACGCCCUAAACGAUGUCAACUAGCUGUUGGGGCCUUCGGGCCUUAGUAGCGCAGCUAACGCGUGAAGUUGACCGCCAGGGGAGUACGGUCGCAAGAUUAAAACUCAAAUGAAUUGACGG